rnacentral:rRNA from 1 species
UACGUAGGGGGCUAGCGUUGUCCGGAAUUACUGGGCGUAAAGGGCGCGUAGGCGGUCUUCUAAGUCUUGUGUGAAAUCCCUCGGCUCAACUGAUGAACUGCACGGGAUACUGGAAGACUUGAGUUCGGGAGAGGGAAGCGGAAUUCCGGGUGUAGCGGUGAAAUGCGUAGAUAUCCGGAGGAACACCGAUGGCGAAGGCAGGUCUCUGGGCUGACACUGACGCUCAUGCACGAAAGCGUGGGGAGCAAACAGG